UUUCAGAUCAACUACUAUCUCUCUCACUCAUUGGCUUUCACCGGAACUGGAGGAUUGCGCGAUUUCGUCUUCGGAGUUUGAAUAUCUGUGAAGAAUAAUGAUAAACACACAACUAGUGGAGAUUCAACCUUGUGAACUCGAGUUUACAUUUGAGGUGAAGAAACAAAGUUCAUGUGCAGUUCACAUAUCUAAUAUCACAGACCAAUAUGUAGCUUUCAAGGUCAAGACCACAUCACCUAAGAAAUACUGUGUCCGGCCUAAUAUAGGUGUUAUCAAACCAAAGUCUACAUAUGACUUCACAGUUACAAUGCAAGCUCAGAGGGCAGCUCCAUCUGAUAUGCAAUGCAAGGAUAAAUUUUUGAUUCAGUGCACAGUUGUUCCUUUUGGAACUAAUGAAGAGGAAAUUCCACCCAGCAUGUUCAACAAAGAUAAUGGAAAAUAUAUUGACGAGUGCAAAUUAAAGGUUGUUCUGGUUAGCCCAUCCCAGUCUCUAGUUCUGCAGCCAGCUAAUGGAAUUUCCAAGCAAGGUGCAUCUGUUGAGACUUCGAUGCAACAGGAAAAAUUUCCAAGUGGUGUUGAAAACCUUCCUCCAGCUCAAACUGUGGUUAAGAACAACAAGGAUAUAAAAUUUGAGGA
rnacentral:misc_RNA from 1 species